UACGGAGGGGGUUAGCGUUGUUCGGAAUUACUGGGUGUAAAGGGUGCUCAGGCGGGUUUGUAAGUCAGAGGUGAAACUCCGAAGCUUAACUUCGGAACUGCCUUUGAUACUGCAAUCCUGGAGUUUGAGAGAGGCGAGUGGAAUAUCUGGUGUAGCAGUGAAAUGCGUAGAUAUCAGAUAGAACACCAAUGGCGAAGGCAGCUCGCUGGCUCAUAACUGACGCUAAAGCACGAAAGUGUGGGUAGCAAACAGG
rnacentral:rRNA from 1 species